GCACCACGAUAGCAACGACGAUCGAAUCAUCGACGAUGACGAAGAAGAAGAAAAAGAAAAAGAAGAAGAAGGAGGAGAAAAUGAGGAAGAAAAUGAGGAUACGAAGAAGAAGAGGAAGAAGAAGAAGUAGGAGAGGAAGAGGAAGAGGAAGAGGAAGAAGAAGAAGAGGAAGAAGAGGAGGAGGGGGAAGAGAAAGAAGGGUAAACAUAUCAUUUUACCUUUUUAACUGACCAUGGUUAAGUAUUUUAACUAUGGUUAACUAGAUUUCUCUAACGGAUAUUAACAGCAGGGACAUAUCUGAAUACGUUAGGACUUUACAGGGAUAACGUAUAAAAGUUGAACUUUGUAGGGAGAUAUCUGCUAUUCACCAUGUUUGCAGGGAUCUGUAUGAAAUUAACCCAUAUAUAUAUAGUAGGACUUGUGUGCUAUUAGGAGUACGGAGGCCUCCGUGCUCCUAAGUCGUUUUCGAUGAGAGGACUUUCGAAUUGACGAUCGGCUCCGCUAGACUUGAUCUAAUGUAUUUGAACUAUCUAUAAAAUAAUUUCUGCAAAUUUUCGAUAUCAUUUACCUAGUGAUCGAAAAGAUUCAAAAUCAACAAUUUUUAAUGGUUGAUAUAUGCCAUUUGCAAGUUUAACGGUGUAGAAGUAUUCAAAUAAAAUUAUCUUUUAGCGACAAUUUAAUAGCGGCGAUUAUUGGAUAGCCGCUAAUACUUUUCAUCAAUUUAUGUUUAGCGGCAAUUAUUUUAUAUAGCUGUUAAUUUUAUAUUAAAUAUCUAACUCUAAUUCAAACGCUCUCCCAUCCUAAGUUCCUACCCCCCCUCCCCAAAUCGCACCACCUCUUCCCACGCGGAGCUCAACCUCGAUCGAGCUCUCCCCCUCUCCUUCACCUUUCCUCUCUCCUCCCUCUCCUUCACCUCUCUAGUCUCUCCUCCUAAAUCGUCGUCGACCUCGCCAAAACCCUAACCCUAACUCCCCGCAUCUCCCCUUCUCUCCACUGAGGCCCCCUAUUUCGCUUUUCCCCUCUUCCUAGCACUAGA
rnacentral:lncRNA from 1 species